UGGCGACAUGGGGGACGUUGGGGUCACCAGCCCCACGCCGUCAUGGCCUCCGCGGAACAGGGCAGAUGACCCCAAACUGAAACUUUGGUUCCACUUUUGCUUUUCCAAGGCUCUCAAUUUCAUAUUUCACCAUCCAGCACUUACACAAACCAUUCUGGGAGAACAUGGCGAAUUGAACUGAAAGAAGACCAUAUUUUCUUUCUGUAUAAAAAAAUAUAUACGUUGGUCUUGACCAUUCUCUCAUUUUUGCUAAAACUUUUGCAGGCCGAGCAUUCCUUGCCCCAGCAGUACAUUCACGCGUUCAAAGACGGACAAUUUACGACAUCUCUAGUGUCUCAUUCUGGGGCUUGAUUGUCUGCAUGGCUGCCAUUUCUUAUUUCCUUUUGUUUACAUCAGCUAGCUUAUUACCUGCCAUCUGGACUUAUAUUUUGUAGUUAGCAAGGUAACCCACUGCACAACCCGCUGCUCCGCCUCGAGCGCAUGUGCUGCGGGUGGCUCGGCGUCAUCUUCGAGUGGGAGGGGGUCAUCGUUGAGGAUGAUGCCGAAUUGGAAAGGCAGGCGUGGUUGACCCUGGCACAGGAGGAGGGCAAGUCGCCGCCUCCCGCUUUUGUGUUGCAGAGAGUCGAAGGGAUGAAGAACGAGCAAGCGAUUUCUGAGGUUCUCUGCUGGUCUCGGGAUCCCUCCGAGCU
rnacentral:lncRNA from 1 species